GCGCUGAAACCUAGAGAAGGGCUUCUCCUUCGGGAGCAGAGUGACAGGUGGUGCAUGGUUGUCGUCAGCUCGUGUCGUGAGAUGUUGGGUUAAGUCCCGCAACGAGCGCAACCCUUGAUCUUAGUUGCCAUCAUUCAGUUGGGCACUCUAAGGUGACUGCCGGUGACAAACCGGAGGAAGGUGGGGAUGACGUCAAAUCAUCAUGCCCCUUAUGACCUGGGCUACACACGUGCUACAAUGGACGGUACAAAGAGCUGCAAGACCGCGAGGUGGAGCUAAUCUCAUAAAACCGUUCUCAGUUCGGAUUGUAGGCUGCAACUCGCCUACAUGAAGCUGGAAUCGCUAGUAAUCGCGGAUCAGCAUGCCGCGGUGAAUACGUUCCCGGGUCUUUAACACACGCAA
rnacentral:rRNA from 1 species